AGCGGUGAGGAACAAUUGGUUUGUUCGCGAGGCUCAUAAUCUCGAGGUUGUAAGUUCGACUCUUACCACCGCUC
rnacentral:tRNA from 1 species